CUUGUUUGGAGCCCUAAGCAGGUUCAUCUCCCGACCUAAACAAGUCGAACGAACUUUGUAUCUCCUGACGCAGAUUGAGCAGGGUCGUCCCCAAUUCUCCCAAACCACCCUUUCUUUCUUUGUUGUUAGAGGAACAGAACACCAUCAAUCCUCGUCUUUAGAUACUAAAAAAGAUCAAGUUCUACCAGUGUUAUGAGUCGAAUCGAGCGAUGCCGAUGUCACCCAAGAUCUUCUACUACCGCCCAGCGUCCCGCUUCCGCCGCUUCUCCUCCUCCGCCUUCCCCAUCCUUUGCCUAAGCCUCGGCCUCGCCGGUGUGCUGUUCGGCGUUUUCUCCAUCACGAGUCCCUCUAGAAAGUGUCAGGAUGGCGAACCCAGGUCGGUCUCUGUUGUGUGGGACCGUAAUGGCGGCGACGGAGCUGGUGGUGGAGUGCUGGAGCGCCACAAGGUGAUGGCUUUCGUCGGGAUCCAGACAGGGUUUGGAUCUGUCGGCCGGCGGAGGGCUAUCAGGCAGACCUGGUUGCCCUCCAGUCGCCAAGGUCUUCUUCGCUUGGAAGAGGCGACUGGCUUGGCUUUCAGAUUUGUUAUAGGAAAGACCAAUGAUAAAUCAAAAAUGGCAGCGCUUCAAACGGAGGUGAAUGAGUAUGAUGAUUUCAUGCUUAUAGAUAUUGUGGAAGAGUACAGCAAUCUUCCAUACAAAACGUUGGCUUUCUUUAAAGCAGCGUUUGCCCUUUAUGAUUCCGAUUUCUAUGUGAAAGCAGAUGAUGAUAUAUAUUUGAGGCCAGAUCGCCUUUCCUUGCUUUUGGCAAAAGAGCGACCAACUACUCAAACAUAUCUCGGAUGCAUGAAGAAGGGCCCUGUUUACACUGACCCUAACCUCAAGUGGUAUGAGCCACUAGCACACCUGCUUGGGAUAGAAUAUUUUCUUCAUGCUUAUGGUCCCAUAUAUGCGCUUUCAACAGAUGUAGUUUCAAGCUUGGUUGCACUGAGAAACAACAGUUUCCGAAUGUUCAGCAAUGAGGAUGUCACAAUAGGUUCCUGGAUGCUUGCUAUGAAUGUCAACCAUGAGAACAACCUUGCUCUUUGUGAGCCUGAUUGCUCAUCAUCAUCAAUCGCUGUUUGGGAUAUUCCAAGAUGCUCAGAUCUGUGCUUGAACGUUGAUUAUAUGUUUGUGAGGCCAAAUGUGUGAAUAAGAAGGAAGAGAAGCAGAUGCUCCUCAACUAUUUGGUCCAUCUUACUCCUUUGAGCUCUAAGUUACAUCACUACUAAUGCAGGAAGAUCACUUAAGUCGUCUUCUUUUGUUAGUCUGACUAUGCAUCCUAUCUUUAAUUUAGAGAAGAUCAUUUCCCCCCUCAUAGUUCACCUACUUUUUCAUUUGGUCCCCAAUAGUAAAAAUUAUUGUCUCUUACCUCCAUAAUUUAUAAAAUUGAAACAAAAUAUCACCUCCAUAAACACAAAAGACAUUGUUCCUCCACGUGGCAAGCAAAUGAUAAGAUAGGUGGAAGUUUUGGAAAGGAAAAUUUGUGUUUCCUAGCCUUUCUACUCUUUAACUUUCCCCACCCUUAUCUUCCUAUUGUCAUAUGAUUUGACUGUCUAGUAUUUGUUAUUGCAUGUUCAAUUGAUUAUCUCAACAAAAAAAAUGUCAUAAUUAUAAAAUAAUGCAAGAUGUUGGAUAAAGGGAUCAAGUUCUGUAUAAAACAAAACCAUAAAUCUCAUUCUACCCAAUUAAUUCAACCAUUUAUGUAUAAUAUGUCUAAUAUAACUUCAUCUUAUUGUCACGUUUGCAACACAUACCAUGAAAAAAUCAUUGUUUGCACAAGACCAGAAAUAACAUUAAGAUCAUUGUUUUGGCCUUUGACCGAAAUGAUAGUGUUUUGGUAUCUUGCUUACAUUCAAAGAAAAAGAUAACAACUAGAGUUCACUGUUUGUUUUGUAUCUAGAAUGCUACGAUUUUAUCAUAUUAUUUUAUGUGAAAACAAACUGCUAAAUAAAAAAAUAAUAACAUUAUCACAAUUUUUGUAUGUCAAGGGGUGUCAAAGUGUUGAUGAAAUGAUACUCAUUGACAUAAGUAACCCAACCCAAUAACAUAUGAUACCUUGUUUUGGUACUGAGUGGUUUCUAGUUUCUGGUAUUUAUUAGAGCGAUACAUUUCGACUGUUUUGUCUGGCUGGCUUGGUAUGAGAUUUUAAAUCAUGCUUAUAUCAUUCAAUUCUUCAAGAAAUAAUUAAUUUGAAUGAGCAAGAUGAGUUUUAGGUUUAGGUAUGCCAAACAGAUUGGGUUGAUAGGCUCGAAACUUCAAGUGGAUCGUUAAACCAAUUAGGCCUCUGCAACCCAGAGAGGAAGAUGCUACAACUCCACAAAAAUGAGAUAUGUUUAGGAACUCCUACAUCAUCUGAUGAAUGAGAAAGCUAGAAACAUGGAAAGGGAUAGAAAAGUAUCCAACUGGCAACCAGAAUUAAGAAGAAAGUGAGCUUCUGUGACCAGCAUAUGUAAUCUGUUUGCUGGCAUUAGUUCUUGUGUACAAUUUGAUUCGAGGCAUCCAUAUCAUUCUUUCAAAAUCAUUAGUACUAGUUUACUGGUAAAGAAGAACGCUUAUAAGGGAGUAAUACUUCUAGGUCUCUUUUGGAUUGUAACUUCAAAAAUUUUAUGGAUGUGAGGACACAGCCACUACUUAAAUUUAUAGGUGAGAGUGGUUCUCGUCUUCUUCAUAGUUCAAAGCUUCUGCGGAUGCUUUAAUUAUGAUUAUCUUAAGGGUGUGUUUGGUUGAGGGUUAUCCUUGAUAA